GAUGAAGAACGUAGCGAAAUGCGAUACGUAGUGUGAAUUGCAGAAUUCAGUGAAUCAUCGAAUCUUUGAACGCACAUUGCGCCCUUUGGUAUUCCAAAGGGCAUGCCUGUUCGAGCGUCAUUUGUACCUUCAAGCUUUGCUUGGUGUUGGGCGUUUUCUGUCUCCCUCUUUCUGGGAGACUCGCCUUAAAACGAUUGGCAGCCGGCCUACUGGUUUCGGAGCGCAGCACAUAUUUUGCGCUUUGUAUCAGGAGAAAAGGACGGUAAUCCAUCAAGACUCUACAUUUUUAACUGUUGACCUCGGAUCAGGUAGGGAUACCCGCUGAACUUAAGCAUAUCAAUAAGCGGAGGA
rnacentral:misc_RNA from 1 species